GACGGAGGAUGCAAGUGUUAUCCGGAAUCACUGGGCGUAAAGCGUCUGUAGGUGGUUCGAAAAGUCCACUGUUAAAAAUUGAGGCUUAACUUCAAAGAUGCCGUGGAAACUUUCAAACUAGAGUAUGGUAGGGGUAGAGGGAAUUUCCAGUGGAGCGGUGAAAUGCGUAGAUAUUGGGAAGAACACCGGUGGCGAAGGCGGCGACCUGGUCCUUGACUGACGCUGAGGCGCGAAAGCGUGGGGAGCAAACAGG
rnacentral:rRNA from 1 species